CGCUAGGCUCGUACGACGUUUGUUUCCCUGGAAACGAGACAGAAGUGAGUCCUCUCGAUUUAAUCUCCGCUCUUUGACGUCCACGUCUCCUCCUCGGUGUCGGUGUCGGGUCCCAGCCUGCCUGCUUGCCGGUCGCUCGCGAUGUGUUAGAAAAGAAGAAGGGGGAAAACAACAACAACAACAACAACAACAAAACCCCACAUACACUCAGGAGUCAAAUUUAUAGAAAUGGCGGAGGCCACUGUGACUCUUAAAGGCUUGCGGACUCAAAUGGCUGCAGCUGCGCAGGCCCAAGCCGAGGAGCGGCGAAGCCAGGCCGUGAGUCCAACCCUUCCAGCAAACACAGCAGGCAAACUUCAGGGCUGUCGGCCAGUCCUUGACGGUGCUACACUUCGAGUUGACGAUCGUCUGCGAGUAGCAAAGGAGAGACGAGAGGAGGCAGACAGGCAACAAGCUUUGCGUGAAUCUCAGAUCAUGGAGCGUGAGCGUAAGGCCAAGAUGCAAGUGGAGCGUCAGCAAGAGGAACGUCAGAAGAAGGCUGUGGAGCAGCGAAGGAAGGAGGAGCAGAAGCGUCAGGCUGUGGAGGACAAGAGGAAGCAGAAACAGGAAGAGGAGAAGGAGCAUUACGAGGCAGUGAUGAGACGAACAUUAGAGCGAAGCCAGCGGGCCGACCAGAGACAGAAGAGAUGGUCCUGGGGAGGAUUAUCAACAGACUCAGAUGGGCGAACAGGAGACUCAGAUGCCAGCGCCUGUUCUCCAGUAGCUAUAGUAAUUUCUCCUGCCACACCAGAAAAGCCACCAAGGAACCGACAAGACAAGCGCUCCACUUCCACGGUGUACCUCAAACAGCCAUCAGAGGCUAUCAUCAGCAAACGCCUGUCCUCGUCCUCUGCCACCCUCAUCAAAUCUCCUGAUAAAAGUUUUAAAUCCAGGAGUCUGUCCUGUAACCGUUUGCCGCGGAAAGACAGUGCUGCUAAGGAGGAAAGCAAAAAGCUGCCGGUGGAACAGACAGGUGCCUCCAUGAAGAAGAGGAGUUGGUCCCUCACACGAGUAAGUGUGGGCAGAGCACAGACUCCUGCCAAGGCGGCUAAGGGGACAGCAGACAAUCAAGCUCGCAAGCAACCGACUUGCACUGUGGACGGAGGGGUCAUUAGUCGCCUGCUCACUCCCACCCAGGCCUCACUAGCUAGGAGCAAGAGCGCUGCCGCCCUUUCCCCUGAAGGAACAGAUACUCCAGAAUGUCACCUGUGUCCUCGCUCAGCCUCCGCCGCCACUCAACACCCGCCACGCGGGCCGUUGCGCAGCCGCAGCAUCGACCGGCAAAAGAACGGCAUGACCACCUCCGUGUCAGCAGACGGAGCCCUCGACCCCUCACUGAACAAGCAGGAAAAAACGUUUACCUCGCCCCGGAGGCAACGCCCGCCCUCUCCAUCCAUUCCCAUGGGACGCAACCGCUCGCCAUCCCCUGCCCCCAAACCAUCUCCAAAGAGGCCUCCUUCCCCAGCAGCAUCAAAGCAAAAUUCAAAGGCACGCCCACCCUCCCCUGCAAUGAAACAACAUCCCCCAUCCCCUCAGCCGACGUCAGCUAAACCUCCUCCGAUCCAGAAACCAGCUCUUACCCCACCAGGGCCCCCAACCCUGCGAAAAAGGGACUCCCGCUCCAAGGACCUGUUGUUACCUGUACAGGCUGGGUCGCCACAUUCCUCUGACUCUAGCAAAUCCAAAGAGAAAGAUGAUUCUAAGACAGGAACCAAUUCUGCUGCCGAGGCUGCCAAGCUCUUGGCGGAGCACCGCAGACAAAUGCGGGAGCAGAAGGAGAAAGAUGAACAACUCAGGAUACAGCGUGAGGAAGAGGAGAAGCUCAGGAAAGAGGAGGAGGAGCGUCUAGCAGAGGCCGCUCGGCUGAAGCGCCAAGAGGAGGAAAAGAAGCUCGCGGAGGAGAGAGAACUCAAGGAAGAGGAGGAGGCCAAAAGAGCGGAGGAAGAGCGAGAGAGACUGGAAGCUGAGGAGGCUCUGAAGCAGGCGGAGCUGCAGAAGGAGCGGGAGGAAGCAGAGGCCAAGGCCCUGGAGGAAGCAGAGAGGGUCCGCCAGGAGCGCGACCGCCUCAUGCAGCAGAAUCAGCAAGAGCGUAUGGAGAGGAAGAAGAGAAUUGAAGAAAUAAUGAAAAGAACUAGAAAAGGAGACGGAAUUGACUUUAAGAGAGAUGAAGACAAGGAGCAGGACGACAAUGAAGAUGCAAUGGACCUGAUGAGCUUUGAUACAAAAAGUGAAGGUCAGAUGGAUGAUGUCGCCAUGGAAAGGCACAACUACGGCGAUGAAGGGGCACAAAGAGAAGAAGCCCUCGGCUGCCCGAACGGAAGAGAGGAAACAGAUGACAAGGAGAACAACAACGCCCCAGACGAGACUCAGGCAGUCAGUCUAAUUUCAAAGGACCGUCUGGUGGAGGGCUCGGAGUUCCUGAACGAGGAAGACUCGGCCAAUGUGGAGCUGGUGUCGGGCCUGGGCAGCAAGUCCAACCAGUGGAGCUUCGAGGAGCUCAUGGAUCGCAACGUCCACUCCAAGACUCACGCCCUCAUCGAGGCAGAGGACUCUAACCCGGUCCUGAUCAACUGUGACGGGCCGGAUGGGACCAAAGGAAGCCCAGUGAACUCUCUGCAUUCCUCCAGUCAAGCCAUAGAGGCUCUCUCAGUACGACUGUUCCGUAAGCCACCAUGAGACCAAAGAAAGUUCCAAGUCUUUGGUAAAGAAGACGAGAAACACCAUUGACUUCAUGAAAGAAAGUAUGAAAAUGGCAGAUUACCCAUCCAAACAAUAACCCUCUCUAAGAGAUUUGAUGCUGCACCCACCUGGCCGGCACCGAGAAGACUCGCCGCUGUUGCACUCUUCAACUUCCUGAGCUCUGUUUAAAAGGUUCCAUACAGCUUCCUCUUCCAUUUAAUUCCAGGAGGAGGGGUCCAAGGUAAAAUGACCUCGCCCCAAGUGCUUAAGUGUCUCAUCUAUAAGAUGACGAAAGCUUCAGGGAAAUUCCGCAUGUUCCUUCUUCUCCCGUCAGGUCUACUACUACUUCUCCCUUUUGUUUUCUAUCUGCUGUCCGAGUUGUUUUAUAAGCCCUUUUUUUUGUCUUUGUCAGCAGUGCGCUGUUAUAAUUUUGUUAAUUAAUUUUGGGUUCUUUAUUUGUUGUUAAGAUGUGUUCCUCUUGUAUAAGCGUUUACGGUGUGCAUCAACCUCCGUAUCUCGUGUCUCUCGGGGAGUUUGGUGCGUGGCUCUUCUAAAUUUACUUGAGCGACUGCUGUCCUUUGGCAGCAUCAACAUUUAUGGCCUUAGCUGUUUUUUUUGUUUUGUUUGUUUUUUUUAGUUUUUUUUUUUUUUUUUUUGCUUACAAUUCUAGUUUGGGUGUGAAAAAAAAACGGGAUCGCUUCUGCCCUCAUUGCUUGUGCGCACAUGGUUUCCUGUCGUGUGACAUUUGGAAAAGCCGUUAGAGCAUUUGUCCCUUACCCUAGAUAUCCAGCUUAAGGUCCAUACACUAGUACGUUCUUUGUCUUCACUCGUAGGACAACUACAUGUUACGAGUGAGGUAAAACUGUACUCGUUGAUAUCUGAAAAUUAAUACAUGGACCUUAAUCUGGAUAUCAAAACAUUAUCUCAAACUGUUUUCCAACUAUAAGAGAGGGCUGUCCUGCCUUGAGACACCCUGCCUUGCAAUCUGUUUUUUGGCCACCAGAGGGUAAAGCAGGCAUGCUUAAGUUCCCGUUGUUUGUUGCUGUUUGGGGCUCAGUAGGCUUUGACUGUUUGUACAUUUGUAUAUGGAGCUUGUGUUUACUAAAAAGAUUGUUGUAGUUUACGUCAGUCUGGUCCUUUCAGCAAAAAAAAAAAAAAAACCUCCAACCAAUAUCCAUGAAACCUC